rnacentral:rRNA from 1 species
CCUACGGGUUGCAGCAGUGGGGAAUUUUCCGCAAUGGGCGAAACCCUGAUGCAGCCAUGCCGCGUGUGUGAAGAAGGCCUUCGGGUUGUAAAGCACUUUCAGUAGGGAGGAAGGUAGUGUUGUUAACACCUGCAUUAUUUGACGUUACCUACAGAAGAAGCACCGGCUAACUCCGUGCCAGCAGCCGCGGUAAUACGGAGGGUGCGAGCGUUAAUCGGAAUUACUGGGCGUAAAGCGCAUGCAGGCGGCCUGUUAAGUCAGAUGUGAAAGCCCGGGGCUUAACCUCGGAAUUGCAUUUGAAACUGGCAGGCUAGAGUCUCGUAGAGGGGGGUAGAAUUCCAGGUGUAGCGGUGAAAUGCGUAGAGAUCUGGAGGAAUACCGGUGGCGAAGGCGGCCCCCUGGACGAAGACUGACGCUCAGGUGCGAAUGCGUGGGGAGCAAACAGGAUUAGAUACCCGCGUAGUC